AGACCCAGUGUCUUUUUCAGCAUAUAAGCCAAGAAGUAGCUUUUGCUUUCAUGUUCCAUUAACUUACACACAAAAUAUUUAUAACUUUUUUCCCCCAGAGGUCUCACCAUGUAUUUAUAGGCUGGCCUGGAACUUAGCCAAGUUGGCCUCAAACUCACAGUCCUCCUGCCUCAGAUUCCCAAGUGCUAGGACCACAGGUGUGAACCACAGUACCCAGCUUUGCCACAUACCCUGGCACAUACCCUGGCCCAUGCCGAAGAGCCUGGCGUGUAUUAUCCUCCACAUAAAGUCACUGAUACACAGUGAAAUGACUUGCUUAGGACGGUGUUUGAGGCUUUCUACUGCCAACUCCCACAUUUCCCACAUCACAUCUGACACCAAAACCAUACCAUAGAUGAGACUCAUUGGAAAAUGUGACCAGAUGCCUCCCCGGGGCAUCUUAGAAAGGUUCUCAGGACACUUGAAUGUGAGGUAGAAUUUCCAUAGAUUCAGACCCAUACUUGACACCCAUCCAUGCCCAGGUGAAAGACCAGUUACCCUGAAGGAGCCCUUCCCUCCCAGCUCUUCCAGUGACAUACCUAAUCAAUGCCACUGACCGCCAGUUUGCCCUGCCUUUUCCCACUGUGCCCAUAAAUUCACACAGACCUCAAAUCUAUUGCCACUCCUCCUACCUCCAUCACCACCUGCCCAGCCAUAAGACAAUGAGGCCCUUGUUACAUGCUAAACCCUGUCUUUGUGACAUGUCAGAGGGCCAAAAACCCCGAGAGUGGCAGACUCUGUAAGACACUUUGGCAGACCAUCCUUUAGGUGGGGGUCCUGUGUCCAGAGGAGGGCAACAAUAAUGGUAGGCACCCAGUGUCCUCAAGUAGGUCUGUGAUCACCCCUCUGAAAUGGCUGCAUGCCAGACAAUAGUGGUGGUCUAGCACCACCGACUGACAGUGAGCUGAUCCCCACCUCUAAGUCCACAGAAUUCGGAACAUUAGCAGAGACACUACAAAAUUGGCCAAGGGUCAACCUUUCUUCUUCAUGGAAGGCUGCUUCUGUCUCAAGCCCAGUAGAACUGCUGAGUGAAAUGCUCUCUUUGAAAAUGGGGUAAGCUCUAAUAUUACAGAGAGAAGGACAGAGGGACCUGUUAACAGAGCAAACCAGAAUAUCCACUCCUCCCACUUAAGCCCAGAAUGUCUUCCAGUCUCCUCUGGAAAACAAGGAUCAUAAUGUCUCCAAGUCUGGGGUUUCCUGGGGAUUAAUUAAUACAUGUUAGCAAAGUGCUUUGAUGUUGGAAGAAAAUGCUGGGUAAGUGGUAAGCUUUUUGCCAAAAGACAUAGAGGGAGUCAGCACUGGGUGGGAAAAUCACAAUUCAGGAGUUCCUGGAAUCAAGCCCAGUGAUGAGCAUAUAGCUAGUGCCAUAAACCGUCACUCAGAGAAGGGACCAGUACAAUAAGACUGGCUUGAGCCUAAUUAGCUGCAUUCUGUCCUUGCUUCUUUUGCUUCUGCUGGGAAACAAUUUGAGAACUAAUCUUGCCUAUUGCUUAUGCACUUGGCAGCAAGCAACUCCUAGUGGCCUCUUGUUCAAAAGACAGCUACACUCUAAGGUGUUAGUUUCUGGAGAUCAUCUUCAGUGCCCAGGCCACAUCUCUAGAACGUAGUCUUGUUUUCUCACUGAUGUCCAUUCUUCAUUGACCACACCAUGGAGACCAGAGCAGGUUGACAGCUCUGCCCUGAAGGUCCCUUGCAGCAGGCAUCAGCUCCUAGAGCAUCUGGCAACCUUUGCUUCUUGAGUAGCAUUGGCCACCGUUAAACAAUA